UACGGAGGGGGCAAGCGUUGUUCGGAAUUACUGGGCGUAAAGGGCGCGUAGGCGGGUCUUUAAGUCAGGGGUGAAAUCCUGGAGCUCAACUCCAGAACUGCCUUUGAUACUGGGAAUCUCGAGUCCGGGAGAGGUGAGUGGAACUGCGAGUGUAGAGGUGAAAUUCGUAGAUAUCUGGAGGAACACCGGUGGCGAAGGCGG
rnacentral:rRNA from 1 species